UGGUUAGUCUUGAGGAUCCAGAUGUGAUUC
rnacentral:piRNA from 1 species